UUCGGGAAGCGAGCGUACACAGGUGCUGCAUGGUUGUCGUCAGCUCGUGCCGUGAGGUGUCGGGUUAAGUCCCAUAACGAGCGCAACCCCUAUCAUUAGUUGCCAUCAGGUCAAGCUGGGGACUCUAAUGAAACUGCCUACGCAAGUAGUGAGGAAGGUGGGGAUGACGUCAAAUCAGCACGGCCCUUACGUCCAGGGCUACACACGUGCUACAAUGGCCGGUACAAAGGGCAGCUACCUGGUGACAGGAUGCUAAUCUCAAAAGCCGGUCUCAGUUCGGAUCGGAGUCUGCAACCCGACUCCGUGAAGUUGGAUUCGCUAGUAAUCGCGCAUCAGCCAUGGCGCGGUGAAUACGUUCCCGGGCCUU
rnacentral:rRNA from 1 species